rnacentral:rRNA from 1 species
UACCAGCACCCCGAGUGGUCGGGACGAUUAUUGGGCCUAAAGCAUCCGUAGCCGGUCCUGCAAGUCUUCCGUUAAAUCCAGCUGCUCAACAGAUGGGCUGCGGGAGAUACUACAGGGCUAGGAGGCGGGAGAGGCAAGCGGUACUUUAUGGGUAGGGGUAAAAUCCGCUGAUCCAUAGAAGACCACCAGUGGCGAAGGCGGCUGCCAGAACGCGCUCGACGGUGAGGGAUGAAGCUGGGAGCAAACCGG